GGUUAAGCUAGUAAGAGCACACGGAGGAUGCCUAGGCGCCAGGAGCCGACGAAGGACGUGGCGAACGACGAAAUAGCCUCGGGGAGCUGUAAGCAAGCAUUGAUCCGGGGAUGUCCGAAUGGGGAAACCCGGCUGUCGUAAUAGGCAGUCACUCACACCUGAAUGCAUAGGGUGUGAAGAGGCAUACGAGGGGAACUGAAACAUCUAAGUACCCUCAGGAAGAGAAAACAAUAGUGAUUCCGUCAGUAGCGGCGAGCGAACGCGGAAGAGCCUAAACCGGAGAGCUUGCUCUCCGGGGUUGUGGGACGUCUCACAUGGAGUCAGAAAGGUGUUUAUUAGAUGAAGAGGUCUGGAAAGGCCCGCCGUAGAAGGUAAUAGCCCUGUACUCGAAAGUAAAUGCCCUCCGAGACGGAUCCCGAGUACCGCGGGACACGUGAAACCCCGUGGGAAUCCGGCAGGACCAUCUGCUAAGGCUAAAUACUCCCUGGCGACCGAUAGUGAAGCAGUACCGUGAGGGAAAGG
rnacentral:rRNA from 1 species